rfam:Triticum aestivum genome assembly, contig: Triticum_aestivum_CS42_TGACv1_scaffold_161540_2DL
CUUGUACUCCCUCCGUCCGAAAAUACUUGUCAUUGAAAUGGAUGUAUCUAGAUGUAUUUUAGUUCUAGACACAUCCAUUUUGAUGACAAGUAAUUCCGGACGGAGGGGGUACUUG